rnacentral:rRNA from 1 species
AGUGAACGCUGGCGGUAGGCCUAACACAUGCAAGUCGAACGGCAGCACAGUAAGAGCUUGCUCUUACGGGUGGCGAGUGGCGGACGGGUGAGGAAUACAUCGGAAUCUACUUUUUCGUGGGGGAUAACGUAGGGAAACUUACGCUAAUACCGCAUACGACCUACGGGUGAAAGCAGGGGAUCUUCGGACCUUGCGCGAUUGAAUGAGCCGAUGUCGGAUUAGCUAGUUGGCGGGGUAAAGGCCCACCAAGGCGACGAUCCGUAGCUGGUCUGAGAGGAUGAUCAGCCACACUGGAACUGAGACACGGUCCAGACUCCUACGGGAGGCAGCAGUGGGGAAUAUUGGACAAUGGGCGCAAGCCUGAUCCAGCCAUACCGCGUGGGUGAAGAAGGCCUUCGGGUUGUAAAGCCCUUUUGUUGGGAAAGAAAAGCAGCAGGUUAAUACCCCGCUAUUCUGACGGUACCCAAAGAAUAAGCACCGGCUAACUUCGUA